rnacentral:rRNA from 1 species
UAAGGAAUCUUCCACAAUGGGCGAAAGCCUGAUGGAGCGACGCCGCGUGAAGGAUGAAGGUCGAAAGGUUGUAAACUUCUUUUCUGAGGGAGCAUAAUGAGAGUACUUCAGGAAUAAGGGACGGCAAAUCACGUGCCAGCAGCCGCGGUAAUACGUGAGUCCCAAGCAUUGCCCGGAAUCACUGGGUGUAAAGAGUUUGUAGGUGGUUUGAUAAGUAGAGUGUGAAAGACCGAAGCUUAACUUCGUGUUU